GUUAAAGUUAAUGUGUUAUCACUUAAGUUUACUCAUCACUAAGGUUACUUGCCCCCUAAGUUUCUAAGGUUACUUGCCCCCUAAGUUGCUAGGUUACUUGCCCCCUAAGUUUCUUUCAAGUCUAUAUAAAGGCUUUGUAAUCAAAAGUUUAAGCAUCAAGAAAAACUAUCUAUUUCUCCUCAA